ensembl:snRNA U6 U6 spliceosomal RNA
AUUCUUUCCUUCAGCAGAACAUACACUAAAAUUGGAACAAUACAGAGAAGACUAGCAUGGCUCCCGUGCAAGGAUGACAUGCAAAUUCAUGAGGCAUCCCAUAUUUUU